rnacentral:tRNA from 1 species
GCCCCCGUAGCUCAAUGGAUCAGAGCGGCGCUCUCACGAAGUUGCAGGUUCGAGUCCUGCCGGGGGCA